rnacentral:rRNA from 2 species
UUGGAGGGCAAGUCUGGUGCCAGCAGCCGCGGUAAUUCCAGCUCCAAUAGCGUAUAUUAAAGUUGUUGCAGUUAAAAAGCUCGUAGUUGAAUUUCGGGAUCAAUAUUUCGGUCAUGCCGUUGGUAUGCACUGUUAUCAUUGAUUUCUCACCUUCUAAAGAACCGUGAUGCCAUUAAUUUGGUGUUACGGGGAAUUAGGACUGUUACCUUGAAAAAAUUAGAGUGUUUAAAGCAGGCUCACGCUUGAAUACAUUAGCAUGGAAUAAUGAAAUAGGACAUCCGAUUCUAUUUUGUUGGUUUCUAGGAUCGAUGUAAUGAUUAAUAGGGAUAGUUGGGGGCAUUAGUAUUCAAUUGUCAGAGGUGAAAUUCUUGGAUUUAUUGAAGGCUAACUACUGCGAAAGCAUUUGCCAAGGAUGUUUUCAUUAAUCAAGAACGAAAGUUAGGGGAUCGAAGACGAUCAGAUACCGUCGUAGUCUUAACCAUAAACUAUGCCGACUAGGGAUCGGAUGAUGUUGAUUUUUUAAUGACUCAUUCGGCGCCUUACGGGAAAC